AGUAAUCGUGGAUCAGCAUGCCACGGUGAAUACGUUCCCGGGCCUUGUACACACCGCCCGUCACACCACGAGAGUUUGUAACACCCGAAGUCGGUAGGGUAACCUUUAUGGAGCCAGCCGCCGAAGGGGGGACAGAUAAUUGGGGUGAAGUCGUAACAAGGUAGCCGUAUCGGAAGGUGCGGCUGGAUCACCUCCUUUCUAAGGAA
rnacentral:rRNA from 1 species